rnacentral:tRNA from 1 species
GCCGGAAUAGCUCAGUUGGUAGAGCAGGGGAUUGAAAAUCCUCGUGUCACCAGUUCAAA